rnacentral:rRNA from 1 species
GUAAAGGCUUACCAAGGCGACGAUCGGUAGCUGGUCUGAGAGGAUGAUCAGCCACACUGGGACUGAGACACGGCCCAGACUCCUACGGGAGGCAGCAGUAGGGAAUAUUGCACAAUGGACGAAAGCCUGAUGCAGCGACGCCGCGUGAGUGAUGAAGGCCUUCGGGUUGUAAAGCUCUGUUCUCAGGGAAUAAAAAAAUGAAGGUACCUGAGGAGAAAGGACCGGCUAACUUCGUGCCAGCAGCCGCGGUAAUACGAGGGGUCCAAGCGUUGCUCGGAAUCAUUGGGCGUAAAGCGGGUGUAGGUGGCUUUGUAAGUCAGGAGUGAAAGCCCUAGGCUCAACCUAGGAAGUGCUUUUGAUACUGCGAAGCUUGAAUGUGGGAGAGGAUCGUGGAAUUCCAGGUGUAGUGGUGAAAUACGUAGAUAUCUGGAGGAACACCGGUGGCGAAGGCGGCGAUCUGGCCCAACAUUGACACUCAGACCCGAAAGUGCGGGGAUCAAACAGGAUUAGAUACCCUGGUAGUCCGCACCGUAAACGAUGGAUACUUGGUGUUGGAGGUAUUGACCCCUUCAGUGCCGAAGCUAACGCGUUAAGUAUCCCGCCUGGGAAGUACGGCCGCAAGGUUAAAACUCAAAGGAAUUGACG